rnacentral:rRNA from 1 species
GACGAACGCUGGCGGCGUGCUUAACACAUGCAAGUCGAACGGAAAGGCCCUGCUUUUGUGGGGUGCUCGAGUGGCGAACGGGUGAGUAACACGUGAGUUACCUGCCCUUGACUUUGGUAUAACUUCAGGAAACUGGGGCUAAUACCGGAUAGGAGCUCCUGCUUCAUGGUGGGGGUUGGACAGUUUCGGCGGUUGGGGAUGGACGCGCGGCUUAUCAGCUUGUUGGUGGGGUAGUGGCUUACCAAGGCUUGGACGGGUAGCCGGCCUGAGAGGGUGACCGGCAAGAUUGGGACUGAGAUACGGCCCAGAAUCGUACGGGAGGCAGCAGUGGGGAAAAUUGCAAAAUGGGCGGAAGCCUGAUGCAGCAACGCCGCGUGCGGGAUGACGGCCUUCGGGUUGUAAACCGCUUUCGCCUGUGAUGAAGCGUGAGUGACGGUAAUGGGUAAAGAAGCACCGGCUAACUACGUG